rnacentral:rRNA from 1 species
UACGUAGGGUGCGAGCGUUAAUCGGAAUUACUGGGCGUAAAGCGUGCGCAGGCGGUGAUGUAAGACAGUUGUGAAAUCCCCGGGCUCAACCUGGGAAUUGCAUCUGUGACUGCAUCGCUAGAGUACGGUAGAUGGGGAUGGAAUUCCGCGUGUAGCAGUGAAAUGCGUAGAUAUGCGGAGGAACACCGAUGGCGAAGGCAGCCCCCUGGGAUAACACUGCCGCUCAUGUACGAAAGCGUGGGUAGCAAACAGG